UUAAGUUAUUAAGGGCGCACGGUGGAUGCCUUGGCACUAGAAGCCGAUGAAGGACGUUACUAACGACGAUAUGCUUUGGGGAGCUGUAAGUAAGCUUUGAUCCAGAGAUUUCCGAAUGGGGAAACCCAGCAUGAGUUAUGUCAUGUUAUCGAUAUGUGAAUACAUAGCAUAUCAGAAGGCACACCCGGAGAACUGAAACAUCUUAGUACCCGGAGGAAGAGAAAGAAAAUUCGAUUCCCUUAGUAGCGGCGAGCGAAACGGGAAGAGCCCAAACCAACAAGCUUGCUUGUUGGGGUUGUAGGACACUCUAUACGGAGUUACAAAGGACGACAUUAGACGAAUCAUCUGGAAAGAUGAAUCAAAGAAGGUAAUAAUCCUGUAGUCGAAAAUGUUGUCUCUCUUGAGUGGAUCCUGAGUACGACGGAGCACGUGAAAUUCCGUCGGAAUCUGGGAGGACCAUCUCCUAAGGCUAAAUACUCUCUAGUGACCGAUAGUGAACCAGUACCGUGAGGGAAAGGUGAAAAGCACCCCGGAAGGGGAGUGAAAUAGAACCUGAAACCGUGUGCUUACAAGUAGUCAGAGCCCGUUAAUGGGUGAUGGCGUGCCUUUUGUAGAAUGAACCGGCGAGUUACGAUUUGAUGCAAGGUUAAGCAGUAAAUGUGGAGCCGUAGCGAAAGCGAGUCUGAAUAGGGCGUUUAGUAUUUGGUCGUAGACCCGAAACCAGGUGAUCUACCCUUGGUCAGGUUGAAGUUCAGGUAACACUGAAUGGAGGACCGAACCGACUUACGUUGAAAAGUGAGCGGAUGAACUGAGGGUAGCGGAGAAAUUCCAAUCGAACCUGGAGAUAGCUGGUUCUCUCCGAAAUAGCUUUAGGGCUAGCCUCAAGUGAUGAUUAUUGGAGGUAGAGCACUGUUUGGACGAGGGGCCCCUCUCGGGUUACCGAAUUCAGACAAACUCCGAAUGCCAAUUAAUUUAACUUGGGAGUCAGAACAUGGGUGAUAAGGUCCGUGUUCGAAAGGGAAACAGCCCAGACCACCAGCUAAGGUCCCAAAAUAUAUGUUAAGUGGAAAAGGAUGUGGCGUUGCCCAGACAACUAGGAUGUUGGCUUAGAAGCAGCCAUCAUUUAAAGAGUGCGUAAUAGCUCACUAGUCGAGUGACACUGCGCCGAAAAUGUACCGGGGCUAAACAUAUUACCGAAGCUGUGGAUUGUCCUUUGGACAAUGGUAGGAGAGCGUUCUAAGGGCGUUGAAGCAUGAUCGUAAGGACAUGUGGAGCGCUAGAAGUGAGAAUGCCGGUGUGAGUAGCGAAAGACGGGUGAGAAUCCCGUCCACCGAUUGACUAAGGUUUCCAGAGGAAGGCUCGUCCGCUCUGGGUUAGUCGGGUCCUAAGCUGAGGCCGACAGGCGUAGGCGAUGGAUAACAGGUUGAUAUUCCUGUACCACCUAUAAUCGUUUUAAUCGAUGGGGGGACGCAGUAGGAUAGGCGAAGCGUGCGAUUGGAUUGCACGUCUAAGCAGUAAGGCUGAGUAUUAGGCAAAUCCGGUACUCGUUAAGGCUGAGCUGUGAUGGGGAGAAGACAUUGUGUCUUCGAGUCGUUGAUUUCACACUGCCGAGAAAAGCCUCUAGAUAGAAAAUAGGUGCCCGUACCGCAAACCGACACAGGUAGUCAAGAUGAGAAUUCUAAGGUGAGCGAGCGAACUCUCGUUAAGGAACUCGGCAAAAUGACCCCGUAACUUCGGGAGAAGGGGUGCUCUUUAGGGUUAACGCCCAGAAGAGCCGCAGUGAAUAGGCCCAAGCGACUGUUUAUCAAAAACACAGGUCUCUGCUAAACCGUAAGGUGAUGUAUAGGGGCUGACGCCUGCCCGGUGCUGGAAGGUUAAGAGGAGUGGUUAGCUUCUGCGAAGCUACGAAUCGAAGCCCCAGUAAACGGCGGCCGUAACUAUAACGGUCCUAAGGUAGCGAAAUUCCUUGUCGGGUAAGUUCCGACCCGCACGAAAGGCGUAACGAUUUGGGCACUGUCUCAACGAGAGACUCGGUGAAAUCAUAGUACCUGUGAAGAUGCAGGUUACCCGCGACAGGACGGAAAGACCCCGUGGAGCUUUACUGUAGCCUGAUAUUGAAAUUCGGCACAGCUUGUACAGGAUAGGUAGGAGCCUUUGAAACGUGAGCGCUAGCUUACGUGGAGGCGCUGGUGGGAUACUACCCUAGCUGUGUUGGCUUUCUAACCCGCACCACUUAUCGUGGUGGGAGACAGUGUCAGGCGGGCAGUUUGACUGGGGCGGUCGCCUCCUAAAAGGUAACGGAGGCGCUCAAAGGUUCCCUCAGAAUGGUUGGAAAUCAUUCAUAGAGUGUAAAGGCAUAAGGGAGCUUGACUGCGAGACCUACAAGUCGAGCAGGGUCGAAAGACGGACUUAGUGAUCCGGUGGUUCCGCAUGGAAGGGCCAUCGCUCAACGGAUAAAAGCUACCCCGGGGAUAACAGGCUUAUCUCCCCCAAGAGUUCACAUCGACGGGGAGGUUUGGCACCUCGAUGUCGGCUCAUCGCAUCCUGGGGCUGUAGUCGGUCCCAAGGGUUGGGCUGUUCGCCCAUUAAAGCGGUACGCGAGCUGGGUUCAGAACGUCGUGAGACAGUUCGGUCCCUAUCCGUCGUGGGCGUAGGAAAUUUGAGAGGAGCUGUCCUUAGUACGAGAGGACCGGGAUGGACAUACCUCUGGUGUACCAGUUGUCGUGCCAACGGCAUAGCUGGGUAGCUAUGUGUGGACGGGAUAAGUGCUGAAAGCAUCUAAGCAUGAAGCCCCCCUCAAGAUGAGAUUUCCCAACUUCGGUUAUAAGAUCCCUCAAAGAUGAUGAGGUUAAUAGGUUCGAGGUGGAAGCAUGGUGACAUGUGGAGCUGACGAAUACUAAUCGAUCGAAGACUUAAUCAA
rnacentral:rRNA from 1 species